rnacentral:misc_RNA from 1 species
UCCGGUUUGUCACUGGCAGUCCCAUUAGAGUGCCCAACUGAAUGUGGCAACUAAUGGCAAGGGUUGCGCUCGUUGCGGGACUUAACCCAACAUCUCACGGCACGAGCUGACGACGACCAUGCACCACCUGUGUACGGCCCCUAAGGACACCACAUCUCUGUGGCUUUUCCGUACAUUUCAAGCCUUGGUAAGGUUCUUCGCGUUGCUUCGAAUUAAACCACAUGCUCCACCGCUUGUGCGGGCCCCCGUCAAUUCCUUUGAGUUUCAGCCUUGCGGCCGUACUCCCCAGGCGGGGCACUUAACGCGUUAGCUGCGGCACCGAAGGGGUCGCUCCCCCCGGCACCUAGUGCCCAUCGUUUACGGCGUGGACUAC